UCGGAGAAUCCUCGUGUGUUCUCUUGUUGUUGUUGUUGUCAUAAAUCUGCGCGAAUAAACCAUGAGCUCUCAAAUAAAGUGUGUCGGAUGGGUGAAGCGCGGAGUCGCUAAAGAAACGCCGGAUAAAGGAUCCCGGUGAUGAGGAGGAGGAGGUUGAUGAAGGUGUUGUCAGUGAAGAGGCAUCAGCCCCGGCUGCUAGUGAAGAAAUAAAAGAGGAGAGAGAGGAUGAGGAUGAUGAGCUUGCAGAGUACGGACUGGACAACUAUGAUGAAGAAGACAUCGGGAUGGAUCUGAGCAGUCUUCAGCAGACAAACACGUGAAGAUCUGGGACAUCCUGGGAGACAAACCCACCCUGACCCCCUCCAGAGACAUGAAGAUGGGCAGUGUGUUCUGCGGCUCCUGUUGUCCGGAUCUGCCGUUCGUCUGUGCGUUUGGAGGACAGAAGGACGGGCUGCACGUCUGGGACAUCAUUGAGAAUCUCCAGCGGCUCCAGAGGAUGUGUGUGUGUUUGUUGCUAACAGUGAUCUGUUGUAUCUCCAGUUGCGGAGGCUUUCUGCAGUCGGGAACGUUUGGUGGUGAAUACAGUAUCCGGAGCGUCCAGCAGUGAACCGGACAUCUCAUAACGACCCACAUUAUGUGAGACUGAGUCAGCGACGGGACGCACAGAAGACUGAAAAUCAUGUGAAUGAAAUAACAAGCAUCUUCUGAUAUAUAUAUAUAUGUCUUUGCUGCCUUUGACAAAUGUUUGAAGCCACUUUCCUUUGAGGGAAUCUUGAAGAUUGAAUUUUCUCUCCAUAUUUCUUCUUUUUAGGAAGUGUAUAAAGAAUUAUGAUAAAUAAUUUACAGUAUAAACUACAGAAUCCCAAGGCAGUUGUCUUACUCUGUAUUUCCAAAUGAUUUCUGUCAGCAUUUUACGAUUCCAAACUGAUCAAUUCUGAAAAACAAAUGCUUUAUCAUAAAUGACUGAUUUAUUAUUGAAUAAAACAAUAUUUAUGGCGGUGUUUCGCUGCCCUCCAGUGGCGUAUUGCGGUACUGCUGGUGUUUGUAAGUUUAUUUUUUUGCCAUUUAAAAAUAUUAUCUUUCAUGAAUGUUAGUGAAAACGAAUUGCCUUCAUGAUUUUAUUUUAUCCUAAUGAAUAAAUUUGAUUCUAUCUAUUAUUUAAAUUGAUCCUAAUGAAUAAAACAAUCUGUGUGGCGGUGUUGCGCUGCCCUCCAGUGGCGUAUUGCGGUACU